AACGAACGCUGGCGGUGUGCUUCACACAUGCAAGUCGAACGAGGUAGCAAUACCUAGUGGCGGACGGGUGAGUAACGCGUGGGAAUCUGCCUUUAGAUGGGGGAUAACGGGUCGAAAGACUCGCUAAUACCGCAUAUGACGAAAGUUGAAAGGAGUAAUCCGUCUAAAGAUGAGCCCGCGUCCGAUUAGCUAGUUGGUAGAGUAAAAGCCUACCAAGGCGACGAUCGGUAGCUGGUCGUGAGAGGAUGAUCAGCCACAAUGGGACUGAGACACGGCCCAUACUCCUACGGGAGGCGAGCAGUGGGGAAUUUUACGCAAUAGGGCGAAAGCCUGACGUAGCGACACCGCGUGAGCGAAGAAGCCCCUUGGGUGUAAAGCUCUGUCAGCUGGAACGAAAAAAUGACGUACCAGCAGAGGAAGCAUCGGCUAACUACGUG
rnacentral:rRNA from 1 species